GAUGAACGCUGGCGGCGUGCCUAAUACAUGCAAGUCGAGCGAACAGACGAGGAGCUUGCUCCUCUGACGUUAGCGGCGGACGGGUGAGUAACACGUGGAUAACCUACCUAUAAGACUGGGAUAACUGCGGGAAACCGGAGCUAAUACCGGAUAAUAUAUUGAACCGCAUGGUUCAAUAGUGAAAGACGGUUUUGCUGUCACUUAUAGAUGGAUCCGCGCCGCAUUAGCUAGUUGGUAAGGUAACGGCCUACCAAGGCAACGAUGCGUAGCCGACCUGAGAGGGUGAUCGGCCGCACUGGAACUGAGACACGGUCCAGACUCCUGCGAGAGGCAGCAGUAGGGAAUCUUCCGCAAUGGGCGAAAGCCUGACGGAGCAACGCCGCGUGAGUGAUGACGGUCUUCCGAUCGUAAAGAUCUGUUAUUAGGGAAGAACCAAUGUGUACGUAACUAUGCACGUCUUGACGGUACCUAAUCAGAAAGCCACGGCUAACUACGUG
rnacentral:rRNA from 1 species